AUGAAUGCUGGCGGCGUGGAUAAGUCAUGCAAGUCAAGGGGGCCCGCAAGGGCAACCGGCAAACGAGGUAGUAACACGUAGGUACAUCCCCCGAAGUCGGGCAUAGCCAUCCGAAAGGAUGGGUAAUUCCCGAUAGUCCCGCAAGGGUAAAGGUUUUUCGCUUUGGGAGCGGCCUGCGUAGUAUCAGCUAGUUGGUAGGGUAAUGGCCUACCAAGGCUACGACGCUUAGGGGAGCUGAGAGGCUGACCCCCACCGAUGGAACUGCGACACGGUCCAUACUCCUACGGGAGGCUGCAGACGAGAAUAUUCCGCAAUGGGCGAAAGCCUGACGGAGCGACGCCGCGUGCUGGAUGAAGUGCCUUGGUACGUAAACAGCUUUUAUCGGGGACGAAGUUUAUUGACGGUACCCGAUGAAUAAGGGGCUCCUAACUCUGU
rnacentral:rRNA from 1 species